rnacentral:rRNA from 1 species
AUUGAACGCUGGCGGCAUGCUUUACACAUGCAAGUCGAACGGUAACAGGGUGCUUGCACCGCUGACGAGUGGCGAACGGGUGAGUAAUGCGUCGGAACGUGCCGAGUAGUGGGGGAUAACGCAGCGAAAGUUGUGCUAAUACCGCAUACGUACUGAGGUAGAAAGUGGGGGACCUUCGGGCCUCACGCUAUUCGAGCCGCCGACGUAUGAUUAGCUAGUAGGUGAGGUAAAGGCUCACCUAGGCGACGAUCAGUAGCGGUGCUGAGAGGAUGAUCCGCCACACUGGAACUGAGACACGGCCCAGACUCCUACGGGAGGCAGCAGUGGGGAAUUUUGGACAAUGGGCGAAGGCCUGAUCCAGCCAUGCCGCGUGUCUGAAGAAGGCCUUCGGGUUGUAAAGGACUUUUGUCAGGGAGGAAAUCCCUAGUGCUAAUAACACUGGGGGAUGACAGUACCUGAAGAAUAAGCACCGGCUAACUACGUGCCAGCAGCCGCCGUAA